UACGUAGGGUGCAAGCGUUAAUCGGAAUUACUGGGCGUAAAGCGUGCGCAGGCGGUUAUGCAAGACAGAGGUGAAAUCCCCGGGCUCAACCUGGGAACUGCCUUUGUGACUGCAUAGCUAGAGUACGGUAGAGGGGGAUGGAAUUCCGCGUGUAGCAGUGAAAUGCGUAGAUAUGCGGAGGAACACCGAUGGCGAAGGCAAUCCCCUGGACCUGUACUGACGCUCAUGCACGAAAGCGUGGGGAGCAAACAGGAUUAGAUACCCUGGUAGUCCACGCCCUAAACGAUGUCAACUGGUUGUUGGGAGGGUUUCUUCUCAGUAACGAAGCUAACGCGUGAAGUUGACCGCCUGGGGAGUACGGCCGCAAGGUUGAA
rnacentral:rRNA from 1 species